rnacentral:rRNA from 1 species
ACGAACGCUGGCGGCGUGCCUAACACAUGCAAGUCGAACGGAGUAUAUUUUCUAGCUUGCUGGCAGAUAUACUUAGUGGCGCACGGGUGAGUAACACGUGGGCAAUCUACCCGGAAGACUGGGAUAACAGUGCGAAAGUGCUGCUAAUACCGGAUAUUUUCACGAAGUCGCAUGACUUUGUGCCAGAAAGUCUUUCGCUUCCGGAUGAGCCCGCGUCCCCAUUAGCUAGUUGGUGAGGUAACGGCUCACAAAGGCGACGAUGGGUAGCUG